UGUAUCGUUUCCAUUCAUUCACCAACGUUAUACUACGCUUAGAAAGAGAGAAACCCUAGCGAAGCCAUUGAAGAUCACUUCGCAGUGUGGUAGUGCUGAUCAGAACUUCAACGCAUCAUUCGUGACCUUCGCGAACGCAUUCCAGAAGAUCGGAGAAGGUGUGUGGCUGUGUGAUUUAUAAGAAUCUCUCGGCAUUCCCACGAGCCCCUACUCAGAUUGGAUAAUCAAUUUUUAUUACCAAUAUGGAAUUCCGAAAUUUUGACCCAAGACAUACUGGGGAGUUAUUGAAGCACAUGGAUAGGCAGAAUGAGGUCCUUAUGGAAGCAUACAGAUCGAUGUUCCAUGAAUUACGGAAACUUCAGGUUGAAGAAGAAAUGCUUAUGCGCAAGAUGCAUGAAGUUAUGUCAACUCAUGGUGUCACCACAAGGGUAGAUAAAAAAGAACCAGUUGCUCCUGAAGCGAUACUGGCAACAAGAGAAGAGCAGCGAAAUGGAAAGACAAUUUUGGAGUGGCUCAUCCAUUGGAAAGCUCAACCAGUCGAGGAGGCAACUUGGGAGGCAGCAGAGACGAUCAAAGAGAAGUUCCCUUCUUUCCGUCUCGAGGACAAGGCAGAAACUAGAGAGGACGGUAUUGAUGGUAACCCAUUACCUAUAGUUCUUGCACAACCUACAAGUGAGAAACCUCUUUUGGUCUACACUAGGAGGUCCAAGGCCUAUGUGCCUGAGACUAGCACAAGCUUCCGGGAAUCACUAUUUGGGGAAGCGAGGAGUUAGUUAUAGAAAGGGAAAAGAAGAUAGAAUUUUAUAUACAGGGAGGGAGAAAACGUGGAGCUUGGCCCUUGUUUUUUUGUAAUUCCUUCGACUUCUGUUUAUAGUAAUACACUUCCACUUCAGAUAGGAAUGGUUCCUAUCAUUGGCUUAGAUGGAAGGAAGUAGAGAUACUGUAACAAGUUAUCUACAAAGGAACAGAUAGCUCUGUUUUGAAUUCUAAGAUGAGACUGAGGAGUUCUCUCAAUGUUAGGGAAGCCCUCUAUGUCAGUUUCCUUUCGUGUUGUUUUUGAAUUCCUAAGCAAAGAUUUUGUUCUCUUGUAGUUUGGGAUUUCAAUUAAUUGAAUGCAAUUUCAAUUUAAUCUUUGGUGUUUAUAAUCGAGUCUUAUCAAUUUUUUUACUGUAGGUGGACGAGGAAUAAAUGUUAAAUAAGCAGUUAAGAACAGAAAAAUCCUUAUCCUAAUGCUUAUAGUGGUGGAACUUAACCCAUCCCAAUUUGAAGCUAAAGAGGAACGGUGAAGAAGACAUCAAGUAUAUAAAAUCAACGAACUCUUUUUCCUCGUAUAGAUUUUAAUUUUCAAUUGUAAGACCCAAUAACCAGAAAACAAAUAAAUAAAAUGGUGCUUCCACAGUACAAAAUACUCGAUUUCAAGUUCAAUAUUCACUCACUAAUGUGAGAAAGAUGAGUAAUAUGAAACAACCCCAUUCGCAAAAAUCUUAGAGUCCAUCAUUGCAAGAUAUUUUUCAGAUAGAUAAUGUAUCUUGUUAGAAACAAGAGAAAAUACUAUGAUUCCAAGACUUUCCAAUUCUAAAAGCCUUUGAUAAUUUUGUCAUCGGAGCUCCCAAUUAUAAUUAAUUUCGCACAAAUUACAGUACUAAGUUCCCAUAAUCGUGCCCGAAAAUCUCAACUAAUUUCCUCACCUGUGAUCAAUUAAGUUUUUAAAAGGUUUAUAACUUAUUUCAAUCGCAACUUCGAAGUUUUAGGGUCAACUGUUACCCUAAUUAUGAUUGUAUUUAUUCACAAUUUCUCACAAUAACAUGAACAUCACCAAAUUGCAUACCAAUUAAGGUUUUCAAAUAUGGUUUAUAACUGUUUAUAAAUAGGUAAUUAAUUAGUAAACUAUGAAGUCAAGAUUCAAAAGAUGUCCACAAAAUACUUUAUGAAUAAAUUUGAUAUCAACAAACAAACGCAUGCCAACAAGAUCACAAAACUUCGUGAGCUAAUUUCUGAAUGCAUAAUUGCACACACGACCACAGAAUUUAACACAGCAAACGAAAAACAGACACAGCAGAACAUAAUUAAGAGAGCUCAAAUUCAACAUAUAUAGAGAAGUCCCAUUUUUCAUUAAUCAUAGCAAAUCAAAUUGCAGCCGAAAAGAGUGACGAAAUUAGAAUAUGCUGAACUUGUUGGCAUCUUAGAGAGAACCUAUACAUGAUGACAUUACAAUACAA